rnacentral:tRNA from 1 species
AGACGGCUAGUUUAAUAAAAAUAUCUGACUUCGGCUCAGAAGCCCGUGGUUCAAGUCCACGGCCGCCUA